UACGGAGGGUGCAAGCGUUAUCCGGAUUCACUGGGUUUAAAGGGUGCGUAGGCGGGUUGGUAAGUCCGUGGUGAAAUCCCCAAGCUUAACUUGGGAACUGCCGUGGAUACUAUCAAUCUUGAAUAUCGUGGAGGUAAGCGGAAUAUGUCAUGUAGCGGUGAAAUGCUUAGAUAUGACAUAGAACACCAAUUGCGCAGGCAGCUUACUACACGAUCAUUGACGCUGAGGCACGAAAGCGUGGGGAGCAAACAGG
rnacentral:rRNA from 1 species